UAACGUGAUGAUUGAUCUUUAAAUUAAUAACUUUCGUUCUACUGAGUAUUGAUCAAACGAUCUUGUAGAAACCUUUUUGAUCUGAUG
rnacentral:snoRNA from 1 species